AUUAAGAAGCUAUGAACCAGCGUUAGCCUUUUAAGCUAAAGAAAGAGGGGCCCUCCCCUCCUUAAUGA
rnacentral:tRNA from 1 species